rnacentral:rRNA from 1 species
AAGAACGCUGGCGGCUGCUACACUGCAGUCGAACGAGAUCUUCGGAUCUAGCGGCGCACGGGUGAGUAACGCGUGGGAACUACCUUUUAGUACGGGACAACGUUUGGAAACGAACGCUAAUACCGUAUACGCCCUCCGGGGGAAAGGUCAGCCGCUAAAAGAGGGGCCCGCGUCUGAUUAGCUUGUUGGUAAGGUAUGGCUUACCAAGGCGACGAUCAGUAGCUGGUCUGAGGGGAUGAUCAGCCACACUGGGACUGAGACACGGCCCAGACUCCUACGGGAGGCAGCAGUGGGGAAUAUUGGACAAUGGAGGCAACUCUGAUCCAGCAAUGCCGCGUGUGUGAUGAAGGCCCUAGGGUUGUAAAGCACUUUCAACGGUGAAGAUGAUGACGGUAGCCGUAGAAGAAGCCCCGGCUAACUUCGUGCCAGCAGCCGCGGUAAUACGAAGGGGGCGAGCGUUGUUCGGAAUUACUGGGCGUAAAGGGCGCGUAGGCCGGUCUUUUAAGUUAGGCGUGAAAGCCCCGGGCUCAAACCCCGGGAACUGCCGCUUCAACGACUGGCAAGGCUAGCAAACGGAAGAGGGUCAGUGGAAUUCCCAGUGUAGACGGUGAGAUUCGUAGAUAUCGGGAAGAACACCAGGUGGCGAAAGCGGGCUACCUGGUUCCGAAUUUGAACGGCUGAGGCG